GGAGGAAAACGUCCUCAAAUUCUCCCCGUACGUUGAAUGUGUGAUAUACUAGCAUGAGCAAGAAGUAAACAUAUUGACUUAAACUGAGAUUUUGGGACAACUUGUUACCAUAGCAUAAUUAAUUACAUUCUGACUUAUGCUUUGGAAGGAUCAGGGAAGUCUCUCUUGAGCAAGGAAGGAGUUAAGAGUAAAGCAAAACGGAAAGUGACACCUUUAAACAACAUGAUGCAAUAAGGAAACUAAACUGCAAGUCACUCAGUAGUUAUUGAGCACUUGAUAUAUGUCAGGCACUGUUAUAGAUGCUUGGGAUACAAAUAGGUGAACAGUGGAUUCCUGUCUUCAUGGAUCUCACAUUCUAGCAAGGAAUAAUAGAUAAUGAACAAUCAACACACCAUAUCUUUUGCCUUAAGGGUGGGCCCCACUUGUGGAGCUGCACAGCACUGAAGACAUGACUAGCUAAAAUUCAGAGAAAUCCAGCUUUCUGGCCAGAGGAACCAGAAAAAGAGUCUCCUUUGAGCCAGAGAGCAUGGGGGUAGGGAAAGUGGGAAAAUCUUAAAGAGAUGCUGAGAAAAAUUCUGAGAGUUGGAAAAUCUUCUAAUUCUGUGUAUGACAUUCCAAAUAUCCUGGGCUCACUCCUGAGCUGGCAUGCACAGGACGGACCCAAGUCACCAUAGCUUUGAAAAUGAAACUGAGAUCGGAACCACCACUCUCAACAGAGCAAGAUGAACAGCAAGACCCUAACAAGUGAAGGGGUGUCUCCUGCCAGUGAAGAUGGCAAGAGAGAUGGAUUGAAGGGUGCUUUUCAUGUUGGUUUUUUUCAGUCAUGGCAAUAAAUUUUCAUCACUCUCCAACACUCUAACGCCCCAAAGAACAAGGGCCUGCAGAGUCAGCUUCCUGGCCAGGGUGCCAGGUACAUGCUGUAGCCAUUGAACAAGAUGAAGCCAACUGGGGAACAAGAUAGAACGCGUGACCCUGGCUCUUUACCAACUA